rnacentral:rRNA from 1 species
UUUUCCUACGGGACGCAGCAGUGGGGAAUAUUGGACAAUGGGGGGAACCCUGAUCCAGCGACGCCGCGUGAGUGAAGAAGUAUUUCGGUAUGUAAAGCUCUAUCAGCAGGGAAGAAAGAAAUGACGGUACCUGACUAAGAAGCCCCGGCUAACUACGUGCCAGCAGCCGCGGUAAUACGUAGGGGGCAAGCGUUAUCCGGAUUUACUGGGUGUAAAGGGAGCGUAGACGGCUGAGCAAGUCAGAAGUGAAAGCCCGGGGCUCAACCCCGGGACUGCUUUUGAAACUGCGGAGCUGGAGUGCAGGG